UACCUGGUUGAUCCUGCCAGUAGUCAUAUGCUUGUCUCAAAGAUUAAGCCAUGCAAGUCUAAGUACGAGCUCUCGUACAGUGAAACUGCGAAUGGCUCAUUAAAUCAGUUAUGGUUCACCCCAUCGCGAGAA
rnacentral:ncRNA from 1 species